UGAGGGCUGCACUGGCCGCACGCUCUCUUCACAUUCUCCACUUGACAGCUGCCAGGGUGAUGGAAGUCCUCCUCCGAAGCAUCAGUUUAGGAAUAAAUAGUUUGUCUGCGAAGUCGUUACGGUCUUUUGCUUUACCUAUCCGUGAUGACUAGAAAUUUGACGCGUUUGAAACCUUGACGGUACUGACGAAUGGCAGUCGAAAUUCUUGACACUGAUCACUUGGCAAUAUCUGCCAUCAUUACAGUUGCAUUGCAACUGACCUUUUUCAUAAUCGCUUCAGCUUUUCACUUGGACAAGUUAACUGAUUUCGCCGGUGGUACCAACUUUAUUAUUUUGGCACUGACUGUGUUUUUACUUGCACAGACAUACAGUACAAGACAGGCCCUGGUUACCGGACUGGUAUGCUUGUGGGGAGUGCGGCUUUCAGGCUUCCUUCUCUUUAGGAUAAUAAAAAUUGGAAGAGACAAGAGGUUCGAAGAAACUGGAAAAAACAUUGCACGUUUUGCCAUAUUCUGGACAUUCCAGGCUGUUUGGGUAUACACUGUGAGCCUUCCAGUGAUCUUUGUCAACUCUCCCCGCAAAGCAGAACCCUUGACAUCUCCUACCAUGACCCGGCUUGACACAGCAGGCACCGCUAUCUUCGCCAUCGGCUUCAUCUGCGAGGCAAUGGCUGAUGUGCAGAAGUAUGACUACCGCCAGAAGACUGACAAUGCCAGGCAUUGGUGCGAUGUUGGACUGUGGAAAUACUCACGACAUCCAAAUUACUUUGGAGAGAUUACUUUAUGGUGGGGCAUCUUCAUCAUCUCCAUCAAUGUACUCGAGGGGGUUGAGUGGGUGGCAGUGCUCAGCCCCCUUUUCAUCUCUGCAAUUAUCCUCUUCCUCAGUGGCGUGCCCCUCCUGGAGAAUAGUGCCGAUCUGCGCUACGGUUGCAUGGAGGAAUAUCAGCGGUACAAAAGAACCACCAGUCCCUUGGUUCCACUACCACCUAGCCUCUACGAAGAAGUGCCAAACUGCUUCAAGUGUAUCAUCUGCUUUGAGUUUCCUAUUUAUACCAACACGAAGGCCAUUGCUACUUCCAUUUGAAUUGAAGGCAUGGUUGUGAUAAUGAAGGCAGGAAGCACAUGGUUGUGGAAAGCCUGGGCUACUACCUGGGUGAUUCAUUUCCAUGGGUAUGUUACGUUUCACCUAAAUCACUGUCUUUGCAUUUCAUGCUCUAACCUUACCUCCUCCACUACCGUCAGACACACUCACAAAAAUACCUCCACUCUACACAAUCAGCCAGCCUAUUGUUUUACCCGCUAAAAAAAAAGGGGGGGAAUUGAAAUAUAGUAGAGUUAAACAGAGAGCAAUGCAGACUUGCACUGCAUCCUACUUAGAUUAUGUAGGUACUUGCCAGCUAUUGUAGAGAAACAUUAACCUUAAAAUAUCACAUAAUAAUUAUGCAUGUGCACCAAGCAGCAAUCCUAUUUCAGCUCUUUAUCUUCGUAGCAACUUAUCAACAAUAUUUAUCGACUAUUAGCCUUAGCUUUUGACUGUCAGAAGCUUUCCAUUGUGAAAAGCAAAAUAUCAGAAGAGCUAUAUAGGAAUAGCAACAAUACACAAAUAAUCGAUAUAUAUAUAUUCACAGUCCUUCCAUAAUGUAGGCACUCUGUGGUGGUGCUAGCACGUGAGCAUUUUCUCAAAAAAGUAUGCGCCUAACUUUACAGGACUCCGCAGUGGGAUAUAUCCAGAUUGGUUAUAGAAUAAACAAAUUGCAGUGUAAUUUGGUUUCUGUGGCUUUCUUAUAGUGCUUCACGACAUAGCACUCACCCAGUAACCCUUGUUAGUUGGACGACUUAUACUAAUAGCAAUGAAGGAAGAAAGCAUUGUUGCAUGUGUAACACAAAGGUGCAUAUAAGGAAACAAGGCAGAUUCAGAAAACAAGUUGGAAAGUGUUUCACGCAAGCCACAGCCAUUACAUGUGGCUGUAAUGAUGACAGGGGUUGACAGUACUAAGUACCAUGGAAAAGCAUCUUGUGAUACUCAGCUUAGUGCUGGUGAACUGGUUGGAAAUCUGUUCCACAAUCAUCUGCUGUACUUCCUUGAUUGCAGCAUUGUUGUCAGCUAUGUGCUUCCUUCCAGACCUACACUAGGUUAAAGUUGGCUAAAUCAAGAUAUGGGCACUAUGAUCAUGUGUAUUCUUUUGGCAAGCACCAUGCUCUGCUAGUGUGUUUUGCAAAAGGCUUGGUUUCUUACAGGAUGUUAUACUAUCAUUUAGCAAGACUGUGCAUUUUUAUUAUGCAUUAAGGAACUUCAUAUAAGGCACUACAUAACAGAACACACUGUUUACAUUUAAAAAAAAAAAGAUCAGGAUUUGAUAUACAACAAAUGAUGUUAGCAUUAGCAUGGAACGCACUAAUAUACUGGAAUCUUUUAAGCAAGGACAGAUUCAAUCCGUUGCUACAUUGAUUAUCAUGAAUUCACGCCAGUAGAGAAUACCCUUGUCAAAAAGCUGCACAAUUGCACAGUUCAUAUCAUUUGGCUGAUGGUACGUUUAUGAGGAGCUAUGAGGGUAAGUUAUGGUAUGUGUGUAUCAUUUCCUGCUAGGUGCUGACUAAGAGAGUGCUGCUGCUGCAUUUUCAGUAGCAUGCUUGAUCAGUCGUGUCCCAUUUAUCCAAGCUUCUAGGUAUCUGACUUCCUGUCUUCCAACUCUGAACAGCAAAAGAGGAUUUUUAUAGGAAAUGUCCCUGAAAAAUGAAAGUCAGCACCUCUCAAAUGUAGUUGUUGACAGUGGCCACCAUUAGCACUCGAGAGAGAAUAUUGUUGGUAUGUCACAAAUUCAUGUACGGUCUUCCAUGAUAGGAAUCAACUGAAAAAAAAAUUUGCUCCUCCACUGAAGCUGAGACCUAGAUUACUGUGUAGAAACCUAUGAAAUUUAUGUUAGAGGCAUUGUAGAGGUUAAUUUUCCAUCAGCAGUGUUCCAAAUGCAUUUGUGACAUGCCUAUUUGCCCCAUGUGGAACCAUUGCAUUCAGUUAAUACGUAUUCCUACAUCCCCAUUUUUCUUUAGAGCGAGUCUAAAUUCCAGAGUGCUGCAAAAUGACCACGACCAUGAGGUAUAUCAGCAUACAUUUUUAUUAUUCUAGCUGCCAUCCAGAAACCCAAGUGUGAUAGGAAACUAUAGUUAGUCAGUCUAGACUGUACACAUAAACGCCCAUCUUCAGUUAAUCAUGCCUCUGAAUGCGCAAGCAUGUUUCUCUUGUGCACUCUAAAUAUGCAUAUGACAGUGCACAAACUAAUGAUGGAGUCUAACAUCCUACAUUUUGCUCUUUGCCUAGGCUACCAGAAUGCUUGUUUGGAUAAAUGAGGCACGGCUAUCUUACUAGUUGGUACUGUACUGCUAGGCAUUUCAACUCUGUUCUAUACAAAAGUGCAUUUUGUUAUGAAUUCCUUUGUCUUCCAUGUCCACGUGGGAGUUCUCAGUUCCCACUCCUUCCUCGUAUAUCCCUUUGAAGAAAGUACAAAAAAUUCAAGUGGAGUUCCUUGAGCAGUCUACUAUGCAUUAUUGUGUAUUCAUAGAGCCUGAAGUUUUCGGGAAAUAUUUGUUUCUAAAUUUGGGGGGUAAAAAUCUGGCAAAUAAACAUGUGAAUUCGGGUGAAAAAAACUUCCAGUAUGCUAAAUUCGGGGAGAACUCUGGCUCAGUUACUCUAACUGCAUUUGCUACCAAACAAGUUCCUACAGACGUCCCAGUGAGGGCAAUUUGCCGGGUAAAAGUCUGGUUUCACCCUAAGAGGCAACCUUCAAUUUGGGGAAGAAUCGGGUUAAACCCUAAAACUUCAGGCUCUAUUCACAAGGAGGCCCUUGUGGUCAGUUUCUGAACACAAGAGUUUCACUAUCUGAAAUUGUACCUGUUUUUUGUUGGAAACUUCAACCUGGCUAAAAGUGCAGCACUAUAUGGCAAGAGAAAAUGGCUUUUACCUUUGAAAUGUUCACUGCUGUCCAGAAAGUGUGGCGUACUUAUGCUACAGUAUGGUGAAGACCACAAGUCUGUGUGUACAUUCCCUCAGCAGUUACUAGUAAGCACUGCAGUAACGCAUAUAUUACACUAGUCCACAGCAAUAUGAAUAAGUAUUACUUUACAUGUUGUAGUUAGGAUCUAGGAUUGAACCCAUUGUAUAAGACUCCAGCUUGAGACACUUUUGUUGUAGUCUACAAUUUGGAUAGAUCUUUCCCAUCAAAUAUCACAGGUUACAAAAUAUACCUCAGUUUUGUUUCAAUAAAACAUGUUCACUUGCAACUCAUGUAUUUGUGAGAGUACUUGUUAAAACUGUUGAAAGACCGGCCUUAUACAGCUAAGUACCGUGGAAGUACUUCCUAGUAGGGGUGUGCGAGUCCGAAUAUUUUAAGUCGAAUCGAAUAUCGAAU